rnacentral:sRNA from 1 species
ACGUUAUACUACAUGUAGUAUAACGUAAUCAGAGAUCAAUAUUUUAAUUAAAAUAUUGAUCUCUGAUUACGUUAUACUACAUGUAGUAUAACG